rnacentral:rRNA from 1 species
UACGUAGGGUGCGAGCGUUUAAUCGGAAUUACUGGGCGUAAAGCGUGCGCAGGCGGUUUUGUAAGCCAGAUGUGAAAAGCCCCGGGCUUAACCUGGGAAUGGCAUUUGGGACUGCAAGGCUUGAGUGCGGCAGAGGAGACUGGAAUUCCUGGUGUAGCGGUGAAAUGCGCAGAUAUCAGGAGGAACACCGGUGGCGAAGGCGGCGUUCUGGACUGCAACUGACACUGAGGAACGAAAGCCAGGGGAGCAAACGGG